GCCAGCAGCCAUGUCACCCUGCAACUCACAACUGGCAACCCACUGAAUCUAAACAGGUGCGAGCCUGGUCAGUACCUGGAUGGGAGAUUUCCUGGGAAAAGCUAAGGUUGCUGCUGGAA
rnacentral:rRNA from 1 species